AGAGACACUGAGGUUGUGGUUUCUGUGAUCCCUACACAAACCAAAGGAACAUCAUUUAUCAUUCAUCACAGUGAACUGUGUACACUUCGGCCACACCAGUGGCUAAAUGGCGAGAUAAUUGAAGCCCUGUUUCAUAUUGCUGCCAGUGAGCUAGAGAUCGGGAAUUCCAUUUACAUUCUUAAUCACUACAUAGCAGGUGUGAUUCUGUUUGGGGAAAAACCUCAGCUUGCCCGGCAAAAAUUGUCAAAGAUUAACUUGAACAAUUACCAGGGAAUUGUUUCUUUUGUGAACAUUGACAAUGUCCAUUGGAAGUUUCUGUUCAUAAAUGCGGUCAACCACACAGUGUACCUGGUAGACCCAGCAAAAAGUUCCACAGAGAAAGAUGACUCAAUUCAUGCUGCC